CCUAACGAAGUGGGAAGGCUAAAACAGUCAGGAGGUUGGCUUAGAAGCAGCCAUCCUUUAAAGAAAGCGUAAUAGCUCACUGAUCGAGUCGUCCUGCGCGGAAGAUGUAACGGGGCUAAGCCAGUCACCGAAGCUGCGGAUAUCAAUUUAUUGAUAUGGUAGGAGAGCGUUCUGUAAGCCUGCGAAGGUGUCUUGUAAAGGAUGCUGGAGGUAUCAGAAGUGCGAAUGCUGACAUGAGUAGCGAUAAUGGGGGUGAAAAGCCUCCACGCCGUAAGCCCAAGGUUUCCUGUUCAACGUUCAUCGGAGCAGGGUGAGUCGGCCCCUAAGGCGAGGCAGAGAUGCGUAGCUGAUGGGAAGCAGGUUAAUAUUCCUGCACCGUCGUUAGAUGCGAUGGGGGGACGGAUCGCGGAAGGUUGUCCGGGUGUUGGAUGUCCCGGUUCCUGUAUCAGAGAAGGCUGUUAGGCAAAUCCGGCAGCGUAAUUCAAGGGUAUGGGACGAGCGAACUUGUUCGCGAAGCAAUUGGAAGUGGUUCCAAGAAAAGCCUCUAAGCUUCAGUCUAACGAGACCGUACCGCAAACCGACACAGGUGGGCGAGAUGAGUAUUCUAAGGCGCUUGAGAGAACUCGGGAGAAGGAACUCGGCAAAUUUGUACCGUAACUUCGGGAUAAGGUACGCCCUAGUAGUUUGACUGGCCUGCGCCAGAAGGACAAACGGGUUGCAACAAAAAGGUGGCUGCGACUGUUUAAUAAAAACACAGCACUCUGCAAACACGAAAGUGGACGUAUAGGGUGUGACGCCUGCCCGGUGCUGGAAGAUUAAAUGAUGGGGUGCAAGCUCUUGAUUGAAGUCCCAGUAAACGGCGGCCGUAACAAUAACGGUCCUAAGGUAGCGAAAUUCCUUGUCGGGUAAGUUCCGACCUGCACGAAUGGCGUAACGAUGGCCACACUGUCUCCUCCCGAGACUCAGCGAAGUUGAAAUGUUUGUGAUGAUGCAAUCUACCCGCGGCUAGACGGAAAGACCCCAUGAACCUUUACUGUAGCUUUGCAUUGGACUUUGAACCAAUCUGUGUAGGAUAGGUGGGAGGCUUUGAAGUAGGGACGCUAGUCUCUAUGGAGCCAUCCUUGAAAUACCACCCUGGUUUGUUUGAGGUUCUAACCUUGGUCCGUUAUCCGGAUCGGGGACAGUGCAUGGUAGGCAGUUUGACUGGGGCGGUCUCCUCUC
rnacentral:rRNA from 1 species